UACGUAGGGGCCAAGCGUUGUCCGGAUUUAUUGGGCGUAAAGAGCUCGUAGGCGGUUGGGUAAGUCGGGUGUGAAAACUCCAGGCUCAACCUCGAGAUGUCGGCGGAAACCAUCUGGCUAGAGUCCGGAAGAGGAAAGUGGAAUUCCUGGUGUAGCGGUGAAAUGCGCAGAUAUCAGGAAGAACACCGAUGGCGAAGGCAGGUCUCUGGGCAUUAACUGACGCUGAGGAGCGAAAGCAUGGGGAGCGAACAGG
rnacentral:rRNA from 1 species